GAAAUCGUUUCGCAUUUUUAAUUCUUGUGUCGUCAUACAAACCUUUCAUCAAUAAAGUAGAUUCCCUGUUCACCAUACCAAAAAACCAACAUUAUUGAGAAAAAAUAUAGUUAACUAAGAAAAUACUAACAGUUUCGGAAAAAUUUUUGACGGGAACAUGUCUUAUAAGAAAAUUGUGAUUCUAGAUUGAGCUAAAUUACUCCCACACACUUCGUCAGCCCAAAUUGUCGUUUCUUUUCCUUUUACACAUUCAUGAUUGUAUAUAAGAUUACCAUUACUUUAUUAUAACCACAUUUUGUAGACAUUGAAAAUCUUUUCAUGCAUUCAAGUAUCAAUGAUUUAUACAAUUUACACUGUCUGAUUUCAUUUCCAUAAAAGUUGAAGUAUGUUUAGUAUGCUCGCGUGACCGAAACAAAUAUAUAUUUUAUGAUGCAAAUAUUGCAUAAAUAUACUCAUCGUAAACCAGCUCAUCAGACAACUCUACGAGAUGCUUUAAUAGGUCUGGUACACUUUGUAAAAUGUUGAUUAGAAAUCGCUCAUUUAAUCGUUUUUAUAAUCUUCAAGUUCUUUUCAAUGUGAGAUUUUCAUUUGUGGUGAAUACAUUGCACAUAGUUGAAAUUUUCAUAACAAUAACUCGACUUUAGCAUCGACAUUUAAAGUAUGUUUACAUUAUACACAUAUAUAUAAAAACUAUCUAUGACAA